CCAAAUUCACAGGUUGUCAAUGAAUAUUCCAGAUUUGAUUUAUUUUCAUCAAAUUUUAAUAGCUUUAUUCUAUUGUUACAAGGAAGGUUGGGUUUGUCUCUAAAUAUCACGUUGAAAGUGUUUGUCUUUUCCUACGGAAGAGCUAUUAUGGACGAAGUUGUUUCGUUUGGCACCCCGAUGCGAACGCAUUAGGUCUUGAGGUUGAACUUUCGUUCUUACAACUAUGUUUUUGAAGCAGAUAGUUCAAACUGAGGAUAAGACUAUUUUAUCU
rnacentral:lncRNA from 1 species